GUUCCUGUGGUUUUAUGUGUCUUUGUGGGGUAAUAAUUGAUUGUUCC
rnacentral:tRNA from 1 species